UAAACAACCAUGUUCUACUCCUACAAGUCAUGUCUACCUACAGUCAUGGAUGUAGAGAGAUCUAACAUUGAUUCUUGGCAUCAGCCCAGUAAAUGUAUGCUUAUCAUGUUUGAAUUUUUCAUCCUUGCUUCUGUUACUACAGGCUGUGGUGUUCUGAAGCCAAGAUAAACACUGUGCAGCUGCGAAUAUGCCUGAUGAGGCUGUUUUCUUGGAUUUCUGAAGCAUUUCUAGGGGAUCCAGAGGAAAUCACACCACUGGCAAAACAGAGCUCUGGAAAUGCUGACACUCUUGCUUCAUCUCUAUAGGAUGCUAGGUCAAAAGAUCACCUGUCAGUUUCUUCACUGAUAUGAACCUUGAGAGAAUGGACGAAGCUAAGGAAAACCACAGACAACACAACAUUCUAGAAGAUCAAGGCCUUCUCAUAAAAAAAAAAAUCCUUGCAGCCAUGAAUUCAGCAGUGAGCUUUGCAAGACCUUGAGCUGUAAAGGCCGCAAAGAGGCAUAGCUUGAUUCAUCUUUAAAUAUGUAUUACACUUGGUGACUGACUGCCCUCAUGCUACGUUGGCAAGGCCAGCCACAGGGUAAGACAGUGGUGCUAAACUUUCAGCAAGAG